CGUCAAGUCAGCAUGCCCCUUAUACCCUGGGCUACACACGUGCUACAUUGGGUAGGACAAUGAGACGCCAAACCGCGAGGUCGAGCUAAUCUACAAACCUACUCUAAGUUCGGAUUGGAGGCUGCAACUCGCCUCCAUGAAGUUGGAAUCGCUAGUAAUCGCUGGUCAGCAACACAGCGGUGAAUCCGUUCCCGGGCCUU
rnacentral:rRNA from 1 species